rnacentral:snoRNA from 1 species
AUCCUUCUGUAUUUCAUAAGGGUGAUGACUGGGGUUUCACGUUCAUGUGUGAGAUGUGCUUCCCUCAAACCUUGUUACAACCUUGGCACAUUACCUGUCUGAUU